CCCCCCCCCCGGGGAAUCGAACCUUGGUUUCCCACACUGCAGGCAAGAAUUCUACCACUGCACCACAACACCCACCCCUUUGGGGAAUCGAACCUGGGUCUCCCACAUGGCAGGCAAAAAUUCUACCACUGCACCACAAAACCCAUCCUCUUUGGGGAAUCGAAUGUGGGUCUCCCACAUGGCAGGCGAGAAUUCUACCACUGCACCGCAAAAGGGCUUGGAACUGGCUGUUCCUUGUGGUUCCUUCCAACCCUGACUGAUUCUAUGACGCUAGUUUUAGUGCUCCACACUCCUCUCUAUUCUCCAGUUUCAUUGGUAAGAAUGUUCCAGUUACUUGCUAUUUGUGCUUGAAGUGCUUUAUUGGUUUUGGCUUGAGCAGUAAUGCAAUUUAAUUUCUGAUAUCAGCUAAGGAAAUUUCAGGAAACAGAUUAAAUAUUCUUCACUUCUCUAUUUUGACAAAGUUUCCAUCUUAACUUUCCCCCGGGUCAAAUUAAUCUGUUGGAGAAAUUCUUGAUUAGCACAGCACACAAGAAUUGAUAAACAUGAGCAACCCAUGCUGGGAACGUCUUUGGUUCCCAGUCAGCUCAGGAAAUGGAGCUGUAAACAGCCGAGCACCCCACACACAGCUGCAGUGGGCAGAGACUAGAUAACCAAAGGGGCUGGAAAAGAUUAGCAACUGGGUGUGAUUAGAGUAAUUAAUUUCAGCUUAUACAUAAUGCUGAAUUCAAGCUCGUAGACAAUAUUGAAGUCAAGCUUAGACAUAAUCACAGGCUCACAGGAUGUCAGGGGUUGGAAGGGACCCAAAGAGAUCAUCGAGUCCAACUCCCCUGCCAGAGCAGGACCAUACAGACUGGCUCAGCUCACAGAGGAACAGAUCCAGACAGGCCUUGAAAGGCUCCAAAGAAUGAGACUCCACAACCUCUCAGGGCAGCCCCUGCCAUCCUGCCGCUGCCCUCCACCUUCCCCCGGCCAGUCUCUGCUGCUUUCCUCCUCUCCACUCUAUGUUACCAGCUUCUGCUCCGUUACCAGUUCCAUUACCAGCUGCGGCUCCUGGUCCGUUACCGGCUCCAGUUCAUGCUCCUGGUCCAUGUUCACAUCCAUCGCAGAAUCUAGAGUAAAACUUUUGAAGAUCCUCGUCCGUUACCAGCUCUAGUUUGUGCUCCUGCUCCAUCAUUGCCUCCAUCGCAGAACCUAGAGCAAAACCUUUGAGGAUCCAAACUCAGCCUCAAGAACAACACAGACUUAGCACCCGUGAGCUAAGAUGGAUGUUGCAGUGGGGGUCAGCACCGAGGUGCCAGCUCCUGUUUGGUGGUGCUCAGCAAUGGGACAAGUAACAACAGACAGAAGCUGCUCCGCCUCAACAGGAGCAGAGAUUUCUUGGCUGGGAGGCUGACAGAGGACUGGAACAGACUGAAACCAAAACAUUGCUCAGAACACAGAAGAACCUCUGAAGCAAUGGCAAAAAGCUCAAGGAAAAGAGGUUGGAUUUUCAUGAUUCUGUCCCUUAAAAUAUGUCAGACUAACAGCAGAGUGAAAAAUGUGAAAUUCAUGCAGCUGGAACAAUGAGAACUAUGGCAGACAUGAUUGGCUAUUUUAAUCAAGAAGUUCAUUUGGUUUAAGCCUAGUUAUAAAUAGUGACAAUAGAUACACUAGGCACAGCAUAGCAACAAGCUUACAUCAAAGCAUUUCUGAAGCCUCUGCAACUAAGUCCUUCUUGACUGACAAGAGCAUCACUUCACUGAAUAAGCAAUAAACUCUACCAUUACAGCA